UACCAGCCGGGGGAGUAGCGGACCCCUGUACCUGAAAUCCGCUGUAGCAGGGGUGGCAUCCUGUUUGGAGGGCGGCCCUUUUGCGGCCUGUAUCACACUUUUCUGUGUUGAGGGACGGGUCCCGGCGCAAUCGGCGGCUGUGAACCAUGUCAGGUGGGGAACCAAGCAGCAUUCAGCAGUUUACCCGAUGUGCCGCCGGGGUGCCUGUCCUGAGCAGUAUGUGUGAUGUCGCGCGAAAGAGUCUUUCG
rnacentral:SRP_RNA from 1 species